AACGAACGCUGGCGGCAUGCCUAACACAUGCAAGUCGAACGGGAUCCUGGUUUCGGCCAGGUGAGAGUGGCGGACGGGUGAGUAACGCGUGGGAACCUGCCCAGUGGUGGGGGAGUAACUGCGGGAAACUGCAGCUAAUACCGCAUGGGCCCGAAAGGGAAAGAUUGAUCGCCAUUGGAGGGGCCCGCGUUCGAUUAGGUAGUUGGUGAGGUAACGGCUCACCAAGCCUUCGAUCGANAGCUGGUCUGAGAGGAUGAUCAGCCACACUGGGACUGAGAUACGGCCCAGACUCCUACGGGAGGCAGCAGUGGGGAAUAUUGGACAAUGGGGGCGAACCCUGAUCCAGCAAUGCCGCGUGAGUGAU
rnacentral:rRNA from 1 species